CACGUAGGGCGCAAGCGUUGUCCGGAAUUAUUGGGCGUAAAGAGCUCGUAGGCGGUCUGUUGCGUCCGCUGUGAAAACUCGGGGCUUAACCCCGAGCCUGCAGUGGAUACGGGCAGACUAGAGGUAGGUAGGGGAGAAUGGAAUUCCCGGUGUAGCGGUGAAAUGCGCAGAUAUCGGGAGGAACACCGGUGGCGAAGGCGGUUCUCUGGGCCUGUUCUGACGCUGAGGCGCGAAAGCUAGGGGAGCGAACAGG
rnacentral:rRNA from 1 species